AGUGAACGCUGGCGGUAGGCCUAACACAUGCAAGUCGAACGGCAGCAUAGUAAGAGCUUGCUCUUACGGGUGGCGAGUGGCGGACGGGUGAGGAAUACAUCGGAAUCUACUUUUUCGUGGGGGAUAACGUAGGGAAACUUACGCUAAUACCGCAUACGACCUACGGGUGAAAGCAGGGGAUCUUCGGACCUUGCGCGAUUGAAUGAGCCGAUGUCGGAUUAGCUAGUUGGCGGGGUAAAGGCCCACCAAGGCGACGAUGCGUAGCUGGUCUGAGAGGAUGAUCAGCCACACUGGAACUGAGACACGGUCCAGACUCCUACGGGAGGCAGCAGUGGGGAAUAUUGGACAAUGGGCGCAAGCCUGAUCCAGCCAUACCGCGUGGGUGAAGAAGGCCUUCGGGUUGUAAAGCCCUUUUGUUGGGAAAGAAAAGCAGCAGGUUAAUACCCCGCUGUUCUGACGGUACCCAAAGAAUAAGCACCGGCUAACUUCGUG
rnacentral:rRNA from 1 species